CAAGUCGCACGAGAAAGGGGAGCAAUCCCUGAGUACAGUGGCGUACGGGUGAGUAACACGUGGAUGAUCUACCCUCUAGUGGGGAAUAACCCUGGGAAACCGGGGCUAAUACCGCAUAAGCUCGAGAGAGGAAAGCAGCAAUGCGCUGGAAGAGGAGUCCGCGGCCGAUUAGCUAGUUGGCAGGGUAAAAGCCUACCAAGGCAAAGAUCGGUAGCCGGCCUGAGAGGGCACACGGCCACACUGGCACUGAAACACGGGCCAGACUCCUACGGGAGGCAGCAGUGGGGAAUCUUGCACAAUGGGGGAAACCCUGAUGCAGCGACGCCGCGUGAGCGAUGAAGCCCUUCGGGGUGUAAAGCUCUUUCGGCAGGGAAGAUGAUGACGGUACCUGCAGAAGCAGCUGCGGCUAACUACGUGCCAGCAGCCGCGGUAAUACGUAGGCAGCGAGCGUUGUUCGGAGUUACUGGGCGUAAAGGGUGUGUAGGCGGUUGUUUAAGUUUGGUGUGAAAUCUCCCGGCUCAACUGGGAGGGUGCGCCGAAUACUGAAUGACUAGAGUGCGGGAGAGGUGAGUGGAAUUCCUGGUGUAGCGGUGAAAUGCGUAGAUAUCAGGAGGAACACCGGUGGUGUAGACGGCUCACUGGACCGUAACUGACGCUGAGACACGAAAGCGUGGGGUAGCAAACAGGAUUAGAUGCCCUGGUAGUCCACGCCCUAAACGAUGCAUAUUUGGUGUGGGCAGUUCAUUCUGUCCGUGCCGGAGCUAACGCGUUAAAUAUGCCGCCUGGGGAGUACAGUCGCAAGGCUUGAAACUCAAAGGAAUUUGACGGGGGGCCCGCACAAGCGGUGGA
rnacentral:rRNA from 1 species